GGUUGAAUCAAAAUUUUUGAACUGGAAGGAAUUUUGUUGCUAUUCUAAGAAUCCGUAUCACACACACACAUCCAUGAAUGAGUUCAAAAAUUCAGAAAGUGAUCCAAGGUCACAUAGCUAGUUCAGUUUUAGAGGAAGUAUAAGAACAUAGCCUUUUGGCUACUUAUUGAGCUAUUCUUCUGUUUUAUGAUCCUGGAAAAGCUAUUUUGGGUAUCUGAUGCAAAACAGGUAUGUCUGUUACUUAAAGUACUUAAAAGUUACAUGGUUACUAAAAUGUAUAUAAACUGAGUAAAGGCACAAGUUAUGUCAGUUUUUGCUCACCAUGUGCUCUUGGUUCCUAAUGCUCUGCUGAGCACAUUAGAGAUGCUUGUAUUUAUUCAAUAUGUAAAUAUUUAUAAAAUGAAAGAAUGAAUAUCUACAUGUAUGAGUAGACCACUGAUAGCAGUAGAAUUUUUACUUUAGGGUUUAACAUUAUUUUGUUGACUAGGUCUGUCAACACCUUUAUUAACACCAGAUUCAAAAUAUUAUCUUGAAAAAUUAAUAUCAUCUCUAAAGAACAGGACUGACAUUUUCAUUUAAAUGUAAUUUUUAAAAAUUUUUAAUAUUUGAGAUCUUAAAGAAUCAUACACAGGAGUAUGAUUAAGUUAUUUUUAAAUCCUUAUACUUCAUUCUAUAAAAAUGUUACUUUUGGUAAGGUGAUUUUGCUAUAUAUCAGUGUGUAUAAGGAUGGUUGAAAAGACUAGUGUGUGAUCAAGAAUCUUCUUUACUCUCCAUGUAAUUUCUAAGAAUUUGCACCUGAGACCACUAUGGUAUUUGUAGUCUUUUUUUGGUAAUCAUCUUUUAGUUUUAAAGUGAACCUUUAACCUUUGUUAAACAGACUUAGUUCCUUCCUGCUUCCCACUGCUCUCAAAUCUAAGUUCAGAUAGUUGGAUCUCUUUGUUUCCUGAAAGUUUAUAUAUUCCCUAUUAUUCAUGUUAAUAUUCUGAUACAGAGGUUGGUAACUUUUUCUGUAAAGGGUCAGAUAAAAUAUUUUAGGCUUUUGGGGAUAAAACAGAAAUCAAGGAUACCAUAGAGAUACAUAACAAAAGAGAAAACAGAUUUCCACAAAAUUUUCAUUGAUGAAAUUCAAAAUAAUAGUAAUUGAGUACAAUUUUUUUGUAAUACAAGUCUACUAAUUAGAAAAAUAGAGUUCUUUUGUGGAUCUCUAACAUUUCUCUUAACUGGGGUUCAAAGUUAAUGUUCCCUAUCAUCAAACUGAUUGCAGUGAUUUUUUGUAAUGUCAAUUCUUAGUUCAUGGGCCCCAUACAAACAGAGACUGGGCCGUAGUUCUCUGAUGCUCAACAUUUCUUCUGUCCCCAGGCUUUCAUUUGAGGUACUUGAGCUCCCCAUACUUAACCAUUCUCUGAGCAUACUGCUACUCUAUUUGUCAUACAUGUUUAGCUUAUAGAAUUGCAUCAUUUCUCUCCUGAUUAUAGCUUAAAAGUUUGUGAUGAUUCUUUUUGUCAUUAAUUUUAAUUCAUACAUGAUACAAAUGAAAUUGCUCAGGAAGCCAAGUAGACAUCUGUGGUAAAUCCGUAUCUCAUGUUUGCCAUCACAUCUUUGUGUUUAGAGCUUCUUCCACCACUUUCUAUCAGUCUUUAUAACUCAAUUUUCUUCCAGUAUUGGUUUGUGUUAUUUAAUAGAUUUUAGCAGAAACUGUCAGUUUGUUAUUAAUGGUUUAAGACUGUUUUCAUUAGAGUGUAUUUGUUGCAAGGUAGUCCAUGAUCAGUUUGUAGUAGUAGGCCAUCUCUAGAACAAAACACUUUUUUUCUUUUCUUUCGUGUGCCAUCUUGUCAUCUUGCAUUUAAACAUAAGGAAUAUAGUCAUCACCCAACUGUAUCCAAGAUCACUGUCUAUAGAUGUUUUGAAGGUGAUACGAGAUAAUGAAAUUAGUGCCCCAGAACACUUUGGAAUAUCUAGCUUCUUGGUCCUUCUUAAAUCUUAAGCAUUAUGCCCAGGACUGAUAAAGUUUUACCACUCAUUUGGUGACAUGAAGUUGUGCAUUUUAUUGAAGUUAAUAGAUAUUGUGUUGUGUGCGUGUGUAUGCUCACGUGAUAUAGCUCUAAAUCUUACUACAUGAAGGUUAUUUAGUAGACAUUGUAGGGGUUUUGUGUGUGUUUAAUAUAUCUGUUUCUUAAAUAUUGAAUAUAGUGUUUCUUUGAAAUAAAAAUUAGUAACUAAUUCUAAUGUAUCUGUUCCAGUUUUCCCAAGUUGUAAAUCAGAAAAGAGAAGUUGUGUAAGUUAGCUUUCAAAGUUAAAUGUUGUGAAGAUACUUAAUAUUUUAAACAGCUAUUGUCAUUAUUGUUAAUCAGGUCUUCAAGAAUAGAUUUGAAUGUUCCAUGCAAGCUGGUCUCAUAGGUGCCCAAUUCAGUUCUCAGUUUUUUUUAAAUAAUUGUCAUGUUCCUUUAGUCUUUAUUAUAACUAGGGGAUCCAUGAUAAUCUGUUCUUUUCUGCUCUCUUUUAAUUUUCUCCCUUGAAAACCUCAUGGGGAUUUCUCUGGAGUAUCUGGGAGUAGUUGAACCCCCCAGUAAACUACUGUUCUCUCUGGAUUUGAGUUUAUCAAGCAAUGAACAACCAUACAGCAAACUUCAUGGAUUUUACAUGUGGUAGACUUGCCUCAUUAUAUGUAAACUUUCUGAGCAGGGACUUUCUUUUAUUGUUAUGUUUUAAUAUCCAAAGGCACUAAAAUAAUUCUCAAUAAAUACUUAAAUUGAAUUAAGCUGUUAGACCAUUGUUCAUUGAUGAAUAUGGAGUUAACUGGGAAUUAAUAAGGAAAAUUAGUGUGAUUUUUGUCUAUAUGUUUAUUAGAUUUUCUUGACUCCAGUGACCAUGCCAGUAAUUUACAGUAUGAGUAACACAGAGUUUUAUAAACUGAGCUAUCUCAUUCUAACUAACCUUUUUAAUCUCUCUUUCUCUACCCUCUAAUAAGAAGACUUUUGUAAAAUAUUCAGAGUAAACUUCAAAUACUUUAUCUUUAGAGUAAGUUAAAAGAAUAAAGCAGAAUGGAAUUAAAGUCAUGAAAACCCAUUUUGAACACUAAACUUUGAGGCUGAUUUCAUACAUAGGAUUAUCAGGUCAACAUUUUAUUAUGCCAGUUUACCUCUGAAUAUAAAAAAAAUGCUCAGAUUUUCAAAGCUUUUUUUUUUUGCUUUUUUUUUUUACAUUUACACAUUUUAUUUAAAAAAUCAUGAUCAUGUGGGUACAAAACAAGGUCCAUUCCAGGGCUCUGAGGUCACAAAGAACAGCUCCAUGGGCCACAUAUUUUGAAAGCAUUUUUAAAAAGAGAAAUACUAGUAAGGUCAUCUAAGAAAAUCAGAUUUUUUUUCUUAAAUACUUCCUUAACAUACUAGUUAAAAUAACCUCAAAUACCUGAUGUGGUUUCAGAUGUGUGGUAAAAAAUAAAACAUGUUGGGAGAACGUCCACUAGGAAUUUCACAAACAUGUUCAGUGACAUAGCUUUGUCUUUUGGAACCUCUGCCAUCAGAAAUAGCAGUAGAGUUAUUUAGAAGAGAACCUUCUGAAGGCUUGGAAUAGGUAGUAUUUUUUUUUUAUGAAGAUUCCCUUUUUAUAAUUAUGCUAUAAUUUUGCAUACUCAAACACAUUUAGACAUACACAUACAAAGAAAAUAGCAGUCACUUAACUGUUCUGGCACAUCAUGAAAAAAUAACCUCUAUAAAUAUUUUGAUAUCCUUUUCUGUGCACAUAUAUGUUUAAACAAAAUGCCAUCUCUUCUGUAGACUUUUUUUACACUAAAUAAUUACAUCUCUCAUGUGACAAAGUACAUCUUGAUGGAUUGUUUUAUUGUCUGCAUAGAUAUACUAUUCUAUGAAAUACCUAAUUUAGGCAUUUCUCUUUUAUAUUCUGAAUUACACAAUUGACUGAGAGGGUAAAGUAAUAAGUUACUGCCUUUGGAAAAAAUUAUAUGAUAUAUUUGGCUUCUCAAAUAUUUGGUCAUUGACUUUCUUACAUAAAUGACGAAUGCCCCCAAAAUUCUCUAAAGGGCUUGAAGUUGAAGCAAUCUAGGAAGCUUGUGGACCUGGGAAUCCUGUAGAUUUUGCUCAUAGUUUCUUUUCUCCAAAGUGCAGAAGAAAUUAACCAUUUUGUAGAAUUUUAGUUUUAAAUGUAUUAAUGUUCCUAGAGAUGUGCUUUCACUUAUUCCAUAACAUUUAUUUAUGCUUAGUAAUAAUUUGACCAUUGCUUUCCAAUGAAAGAAUUCUAGGGCAGAAUUAGAGUCCCACCUCUUGGUAAUAGAAUUUCAGUAUAGUUUCCAUGGUUUUAGUAACUAGCCAUUUAAAUUUAUAUGUAUCUUUUAGAAAAACAUGACAUUAAACAUAGAGAUACUUAAAUUAUUUGCAUUAAUAAAAUUAUUACAUGGCAAUUAAAGUUACAUAAUUUCUCUUGUAAAACAACUAUUUAAUUUUCUCAGCAAUAAUUACUCAAUUUUUAGGUAUCUACGUACAUAGCUCUACGUAUGAAAGAGGACUUUUCAUAUUUGUACUUCCACCCGCUGGCUCUCAAAAAGGGAGGAGAAGCAGAUGAAGUUAGGUGACAGGUGGUACAAGAAUGAAUGGAAUACAGCAUGGACACAUAAAGGGACGUCCUAUACUAUUCACCCUCUCUAGACUGAAUAAAUACUUUAAAUUAGCCAAGUUGUUUAGUUGUGUUCAAAUAACAUGACAACUUGCUGAUCUUUUCUUCUCUGAGAUUCCCAAUGGGAAUUAAGUUCAUAUUAUUGCUAUUAGAGCUUUUUGCUCCUUGACUCUUGGAAAUCAGAAGAAAACCCUGAGAUCUCAGAGAAACAUAACAUCACAAAAAAAGGGUUUCUUGUACCAAAAUUUUAAUCAUAUAUUAUUGUGGAGAGGUAGAAAUUGGAUAAAAUCUGCAUGUGUAGAGACUUAAGUAUUUUAGCUACCCAUAUCUAGUGGAUUUUAAAAAGGAAAACGUAAUGUGUACAGAAUUACCAGAGGGAAUAACAUUUUAUAUCAGUCCUCUGUAAGUGAAAAUGUGUGGUGGUGAUUCCAGUAUCAUUAGAGUACUGAUGUUUUUAAAUCGAAUAGCUUGGUGACAUGUUUUCAUUUUUAAUUAGAGAGAUUUGUCAAGCUUAUAGUAAAGGCAGCCAACCUUACAGUUAUUCAAAUUAAAUAAACAAUUCUUUUAUGCAGAAAAGAAAUGAAGAUAUUUAAUCAUUCAACCAUUGCUACAUAUCUCUCUUGCCUCUGUGUUACACAAUUUUUACCCACUCACUUUUAAAGCUUUUAUUGAAUACAUUGCAUAUAGGCCUGGCCAUGCAACCCUUUAGUCUUUCACAGUGCAUACCACCUUAACUACAUGUGUUGAUUUCAUGAAUAGUUUUUGUUAGAUGCUGGACUAGAACAUAGAGAGGGUCCUUUCCCUCCCGGAGUUCAGAGACUGAGGGUGAGAAAAGAACAACUUGAGGACAAUGGAGUAAAGGCAGGUAUUAUCCAGAAGUCAAAAAGCAAAAACGCAAAGGCAAAAAAAGCAUUCUACUUGGAGGUAGUCAUUACCUGUAAAGGUUUCAUAGGAGAGGUAAUUCUUGAGCUGAAUCUUGGCACAUGGAAAGAUAAUCACCACUUAAAGAGAGGAAGAGAAUGGAGGACAUACAAUGCAGAUUUGGGCAAAGAUGCUUAUUAAAAUCAGGUCAAUUAUUGUGUGUUUAUGGUGUGAGUUUAGGGUUCUGAUUGGUGGGGAUAAUAGAAUAUGAGUUUAUCCAGUGAGAGAAGGCUAGCUAUGGGCAGUAGCCAGACCACCUUAGCCUGUAAGCAGUUGGAAGCUGUUGCGGGAUUUUGCGUAGAGGAGUGUAACAUUUCUAACAGGAUUUAUUUUGCUUCACCCUUGCUUUAAAGGCUGCAUAUGCAGCUCUGUUACUGAAGUUUGGCGACCUCUGGUGUUGGACCAUUAAAAAGCAAGGCUGUGAAAGAAAUACUUGUAUUUCAUAGCUUUUGUUAGGUGAUUCUUGACUUUAUUUCUUUGAACAAAUAAAUCAUAAUUCCUGAUUUAAUAUCUAUCAGUGUCUGGAUAAAUUUAACUAAAUGAGUGAAAAAAAUGUUAAACAUGGAUGGAACUUAGUACAAAUGAAAUGAUUAAUUCAAUCAUAAAGGGAUGAACAGCAGCCCCAAAGGGAUGUGACAAGCUGAUCUCUGAUUCUUUGGGCCUUUCCACCCCCAAAUUCCAUGGUCUAGGAUGGUGGACCAAAGAAAAGGUCCUUUUUGUAGUAAAUGGAAAGAACUUAUUCUAAUAAUAGGUAACUGAGAUUACAUAGUCUUAACCAGUGGUAUGAUAUUUUUCAGUAUCUCCUUGUCUUCUUUGGUUGUGUGAGAUAUACUUACAGAAAAGUGCACAAAACAUUUAUGUUCAUUUUCAUUUCCUUUAAGUCAUGGGGGAACUUAGUUUUUUGGAAAUCUAGAUAUUUUUAUAUUUUUAAGUAUAUCCUUGCCUAAAAGUUUUGAAAAAAAUCAUUUUUCCAUCUCUUAAAAAUUCAAGGGAACCCUAAAACUUACUCUGUGUCUGAAUGAUAGGUCCAUGUCAACAUCACUUUAAAUCUAUAAAAUGAAAAAGUUCAAUUAUGCAGUUUCAAAGGUACCAAAUAGUAAAUCAGAUAGAAAUAUACUCUGAAUGUAAGAAAAACAAUAUAAAAGUAGAAAAGGAUAGUUUGUUAAGAUGUCAUAUUUGUGGUAUUGAUUGCAGAUGGUGAUACAUUCAGAAUCUUUGCUCUUCAUAAUCUGUCACUGGUUUACCUUUCAGCCCUUAAUGUUGCCGUACAUCCACUAUCCAGUCCUUAUUCUCUGUUCAGCUGUUACCACAGUUAUCCAAGUCAUGCUGUUUUCUGCUUCAUACCUAAUGUGCACGGCAUGUGCUGCUCAUUUGCUUCCUAGAUUCUUUAAGUAAAAUCAUUCUUAUCUCUACUUCCAGAACUCUUUCCUGAAUCUCUUCCUUAUUCCAGUGUAGUGUAGCACUUUCAGCCCACACAUAAUGUGUUUUGUUGUACUGAUCUCAGCUGAUUGUAGUUAUUUAUGUACAAGUCUUUCUGUCCUAGAGCUCCUUGAGGAUAGAAACUCAAUAAAUGUUUCGAAUGAAUGAAUGACUUCAGAGCCUGAAAAAAAUUUUUUAAAUACCUCUCAGUUAUGUCUUACCUUUGCAUUCUUACUUCCUUUGCAUUUAAUCAUACUUUUGCUUUCUUAAAGAUUAUGCAUAUUGUAUUUAAAAUAAUUCUGAUUUUAGAGUUUCAUAGAGUCUGAUAGUUUUAGUGCUAACCUUAAAUAGCAACAAAGGAAGAAUGAGAAUGUGGUUGUACAGGCAUACCUCACUUUACUGUGCUUUGCAGAUAUUGAGGUUUUUUUUUCCAAAUUCAAGGUUUGUGGCAAUCAUGUCAGAAGUCUGUUGAUGCCAUUUUUCCAACAGCAUUUUCUCAAUUCAUGUCUGUCACAUUUUGAUAAUUCUCACAAUAUUUUAAGCUUUUUCAUUGUUACUCUAUGUGUUAUGGUGAUCUGUGAUCAGUGAUCUUUGAUGUACUUUUAUAAUUGUUCUGGGGCACUACGAACCAUGCCCAUAUUAAGAUGGCUGAUUUAAUCAGUAAAUGUGUAUGUUCUGACUGCUCCAGAGACCAACCAUUCCCCUGUCUCUCUCCCUCUCUUUGGGCCUCCCUAUUCCUGAGACACAACAAUAUUGAAAUUAGGCCUAUUAAUAACCCUACAAUGGCCUCUAAGUGUUCAAGUGAAAGAAAGGGUCACACAUCUCUCACUUUAAAUCAGAAGCUAGAAAUGAUUAAGUGUAGUGAGGAAGGCAUUGGAAAGCUGAGACAGACCAAAAGCUAGGCCUCUUGCACCGAACAGUCAAGUUGUAAAUGCAGAGGAAAAGUCCUUGAAGAAAAUGCAAAGUACUACUCAAAUGAACACAUGAAAGAUAAAACAGCAAAAUAUCCUUAUUGUUGAUAUAGAAAAGUUGGAUAGAAGAUCUAACCACCCACAACAUUCCCUUAAGCCAAAGCCCAGUCUAGAACAAGACCCUGACUCUUCAAUUCUGUGAAGGCUGAGAGAGGUGAGGAAGCUACAGAAAAAAAGUUAGAAGCUAGCAGAAGUUGGUUCAUGAAAUUUAAGGAAAGAACCUGUUUUCUUAACAUAAGAGUACAAGGUAAAGCAGUAAGUGCUUAUAGAAGCCACAGCAAGUUAUCCAAAAGAUCCAGCUAAGAUAAUUAAUGAAACUGCACUAAAAAAAAGAUUUUCAUUGUAGACAAAACAGCUAUCAGAAGAAGAUGCCUUCUAGAAUUUUCAUGGCUAGAAAGAAGUCAAUGCUUGGCUUCAAAGGACAGGCUGAUUCUCUUGUUAGGGGCUAAUGCAGUUUUAAGUUAAAGCCAAUAUUCAUUUACCAUUCCAAAAAACCUGUGAUCCUUAUGAAAUAUACUAAAUUUAAGCUGCCUGUACUCUGGAAAUGAAACAACAAAGCCUGCAUGAUAGCACAUCUGUUUUCACUCUGGUAUACUGAAUAUUUUAAGCCCACUCUUGAGACCUACUGCUCAGAAUACAUUACUUUCAAAAUAUUACUGCUCACUGACAAUGCACCUGGUUACCCGGAGCUCUCAUUGUUGUUGUACAAAGUUGUUGUUUUCAUGCCUGCUAACUCAAAAUCCAUUCUGCAUUUCUAGGAUUAAGGAGUCAUUUUGACUCUCAUGUCUUAUUAUUUAAGAAAUAUGUUUUAUAAGGCUAUAACUGCCAUAGUGGUUCCUCUGCUGGAUCUGGGCAUAGCAAAUUGAAAACCUUCUGGAAAGGAUUCAUUCUAGAUGCCAUUUAGAACAUUCAUGAUUCAUGGGAAGAGGUCAAAAUAUUAUCAUUAACAGGACUUUGGAAGAGGUUGAUUCCAGCCCUCAUGGAUGACUUUGGGGCAUAAAGACUUCAGUGGAAGAAGUAAAUGCAAGUGUUGUGGAAACAGCAAAAGCCCUAGAAUUAAAAGUAGAGCCUGAAAGUGUGACGGAAUUGCUGUAACUUCGUGAUAAAACUUGAAUGGGUGAGGAGUUGCUGCUUCUGAGUGAGAGCAAAGAAAGUGGUUUCAUGAGAUGGUAUCUGCUCCUGGUGAAGAUGCUGUAAUUGCUAUUGAAAUGACCACAAAGGAUUUAGAAUAUCACAUAAAUUUAGUUGAUAAAGCAGCAGUACAGUUUGAGAGAAUUGACUCCAGUAUUAAAAGAAGUUCCUCUGUGGGUAAAAUGCUAUCAAAUAGCAUCACAUACUAUAAAGAAACCAUGAAAGGAAAGGGCAACCACUGUGGCAAACUUCAUUGAUUUCCUAUUUUAGCAACCAUCACCCUAAUCAGUCAGCAGCCAUCGACAUCGGUGCAAGACCCUCUGCCAGCAAAAAGAUCAUGACUCAUUGAAAGCUCAGUUGAUGGUUAACAUUUUUUUAAGUGAAUUUUUAAAGUAAGAUGUGUACAUUGUUUUUUUUAAGACAUAAUGCUUUUACAUACUUAAUAAACUACAUUAUAUGACUUGGAAACCAGAAAAUUCAUUUGACUCACUUUGUUUUGAUAUUCACUGUAUCGCAGUACACUGGAACCAAACUCACUUCAUCUCUAAGUAUGCCUGUAUUUAGUGUAGUAAAGGCAUCAGAAGUUAAAUAAUGGUCAGCUGUUUUACUUUCUAAGUCAGCUUCGUAGAGAUGGAAUUUACAUGCAGAAAAAUUUAGCCCUUCCACGUGAGUAGUUUGAUAAGUUUUGACAAACAUGUAAACACCAUCCUGGUAAGAUUUAGACCAUAAGAACCCCAAAAACUGUUGCUAUGUACAGCCUGGGGUGACCAAAUGUCCCAGUGUGCCCAUGACUGAGAAAUUUGCCAGGAUAGUCCCAGGCAGAGCAGGUCAUCUGGUCGUGCUGUUCAUUGCCCCUUUGCAGUCAGUCCCCCAUCUAAUGUCUCAGGUGAUCAUUGGUUUGCUUAGUAUUAGUACAGAUAAGUUUUCCCUAUUACAGAAUUUCACAUGAAUGGAAUUAUAUAGUGUGUUUCUUUUGUAUCUGACUUUUUUUUGCCUAACAUCAUGUUUUUGAGAUUCAGUUCAUGUUUUUGCUUAUCUCGUCUGUUUAUUGUUUUAUGCUGAGUUGUAUUCUAUUAAAAUAUAUGAGUUUUCCAUUCACCUUUAGAUGGAUAUUUGACUUGUUUCUGGUUUUUGGCUAUUAUGAGUAAAGCUGCUAUAUAUGUUUUUGUAUAAGUAUUUUUGCAGACAUACGUUUCUAUUUCUCUUCAAUAAAGAACUAAGACUUAAAUUUCUAGUUA